rnacentral:rRNA from 1 species
GCAAUGCUUUAACAGCCAAAGCUUCGGCGGCUAACAAUAGGGCUGCGGCCUAUCAUGGCUGUUGUGAGUAUAAAAUACUCACAAACCUAUAACGGGUAGGGGCCAUGAGAGUGGGAGCCUCGAGAUGCAUUCUGAGACAUGAAUGCAGGUCCUACGGGACGCAGCAGUCGCGAAAACUUUCCAAUGCCUUAACGGGUGAGAAGGGAACCCUGAGUGAUUAUGCAUAGCAUAAUCUUUUGUUUUGUCUAAAGAGCAAGACGAAUAAGUGGUGGGUAAGACGGGUGGCAGCCGCCGCGGUAAUACCCGCGCCACAAGUGGUGACCGCGAUUAUUGGGUCUAAAGCGUCCGUAGCCGGUUCAGUGAGUUCUUGGUGAAAUCUACU